rnacentral:rRNA from 1 species
CUGAGGGGACGACGUUUGAAGGGUGAGCGGUACGAUUAGAAAUGUCCGUGGACCCUUGCGGGGUGGGUGUAGGAAAAUCCGCACCCACAAGCCUCGCUUGGGGACCGACCGCUUUUACGUUCGGGUAGUCAUCUGCAGGACGUCCAAGAAAAGCCUCUAAGGGUUGAAGCUGGAGUGACCGUACUAAAACUGACACAGGUAGGCGAGACGAGUAGUCUUAGGCGCUCGGGAGAACACUGGUUAAGGAACUCUGCAAAUUGGCCCCGUAAGUUCGCGAUAAGGGGUGCCUCUGGGGGUGUUAAAGCUCCUGGGGGUCACAGUAAAUCGGCUUCAGCGACUGUUUAUCAAAAACACAGGACUCUGCGAACUCGUAAGAGGAUGUAUAGAGUCUGACGCCUGCCCGGUGCCGGUAGGUUAAGGAAGAGGGUUAGCCGCAAGGCGAAGCUCGCGACCGAAGCCCCGGUAAACGGCGGCCGUAACUAUGACGGUCCUAAGGUAGCGAAGUUCCUUGUCGGGUAAGUUCCGACCUGCAUGAAUGGCGUAACGACUGAAGCACUGUCUCAACCAGUGACCCGGUGAAAUUGUAGCCGUGGUGAAGAUGCCACGUUCCCGCAGCGAGACGGAAAGACCCCGUGAACCUUCACUGUAGGCUGAUAUUGGGCUGUGGUAUGUCUUGUGUAGGAUAGGUGGGAGGCGUCGAUCUGGGCACGCAAGUGUUCAGGGAGCCAACCUUGAAAUACCACCCUGGACCUGCUUUAGUUCUAACUCUGAUCCCGUGAAUCCGGGCAGAGGACAGUGUCAGUUGGGCAGUUUGACUGGGGCGGUCUCCUCCGAAAGAGUAACGGAGGAGUCCAAAGGUACCCUCAGCCUGGUUGGCAAUCAGGCUUCGAGCGCAAAGGUAUAAGGGUGCUUAACUGCGAGACUUAUCAGUCGAGCAGAUACGAAAGUAGGGCUUAGUGAUCCGGCGGUGCUGGAUGGAAAGGCCGUCGCUCAUCAGAUAAAAGGUACUCCGGGGAUAACAGGCUUAUCGCUUCCGAGCGUCCAUAGCGGCGAAGCGGUUUGGCACCUCGAUGUCGGCUCAUCACAUCCUGGGGGUGGAGAAGCUCCCAAGGGUUUGGCUGUUCGCCAAUGAAAGUGGUACGUGAGCUGGGUUCAGACCGUCGUGAGACAGGUCGGUCCCUAUCUGCUGUGGGCGCACGAAACCUGCGGAGAAUCUUCCUUAGUACGAGAGGAUUGGGAAGGACGUUCCUCUGGUGUCCCAGUUGUCGCGCUAGCGGCUCGGCUGGAUAGCUAAGAACGGAACGGAUAAACGCUGAAAGCAUAUAAGCGUGAAGCCCGCUCCAAGAUAAGGUUUCGUUGGACAAUAGUCCGAAAGUCCCCUGGAAGACGACCAGGUCAAUAGGCCGGAUGUGUACGUGGGGUUAACCCAUUUAGCUAACCGGUACUAACGGACGAACGCUUGACCGC